CCUGCGCUGUGCCUCUCCCAAUUGCAGCUCCUGAGCCUGCCUUUGCGAGCGGCAGAGGUAGGCAGAGGCAGCGGUGGAGGGACAAGCGGCCAGACAGGAGCCCUUUCUCGCCGCUGGUCCCUCUGCCACCGCCCGCCUCUCCCAAGGGCAGGCACAGGAGCCACGGUUGGGAGAGGCACAGCGCAG